GUGCCAGCCGCCGCGGUAAUACCGGUAGCCCGAGUGAUGGCCGCUAUUAUUGGGCCUAAAGCGUUCGUAGCCGGCCGGACAAGUCCGUUGGGAAAUCCACGCGCUCAACGCGUGGGCGUCCAGCGGAAACUAUCCGGCUUGGGGCCGGAAGACUCGAGGGGUACGUCCGGGGUAGGAGUGAAAUCCCGUAAUCCUGGACGGACCACCGGUGGCGAAAGCGCCUCGAGAAGACGGACCCGACGGUGAGGAACGAAAGCCAGGGUCUCGAACCGGAUUAGAAACCCGGGUAGUCC
rnacentral:rRNA from 1 species